GUGACUCUGGCUCUUCCCAAAGUCAAAAUGACCACGAAAGGGAAGCGUUUUGAAUCCAUUCAGCACAUCGAGGCAGCCAGGACAGUACAGCUAAAGACACUGAGGAAAGAGGGCUCCACAGCUGCUGCAGAAAGUGGCAAAAAUGAUGGGAUGAAAACAUUCACAAUAUUUUUCCGUCGUGCUGUAUUUCCUGGCGUGGCCACAUGGGGGCAGGGAAUGUGUUCUGCUCCCCAUUUUCCUCUUACUGCCUAGUGUCAUAUCUGGCAUAAAACAGGUACUCAAAUAUUUUUUAUUGUUUGCACCCAGUUGGUGCUCAAUCAAUGUGCCUUGAAUAGAUGCACUUAUGGAUAACCACACGUUAUCCAUAAGUAUAUGGAGCCCAUCAAAGGAGGACGAGAGGCCUGCCAGGCAACAAACCUCACAAACAGGAGCCAGGAGGAGGCUGAAGGCAGAGGGCAGCCCUGCAGCCGGAGCGGGCAGCUGCGUGUGGACACGGUUCUGCCCGGAAGGACCCUGAGCUGUAAGGGCAGCGAGGAGGGGAGCCGUGCAGAAGGACGGGAGAGAAAAUAAAACAAACGGAAGACUUGAAUGUUCAUUUUCAAGGUUUGCAAUCUUUGUCCAGAAAGACAAGGAAACAGCUGAAUUCUCAGCGAAAUCACACAAGCUAAAUACGUGACAGUUUGAUCAGUCCCUGAGGAAGGUGACAAAGGGGAGGGCUUGGAGCACUGAGCAAGAACGGAGGUGCGGGGGGGGGGGGUCUCUGUUCUCGGGGACCUGUGACCCAGCCGGGCUCCGCAAUGCAACAACAAUUGGAGAGUUGCUUUUAACUAAAACUAUUGCCGCAAACCCACGGCUGUCCUCAUGGAGUCAGAUCGGAUGGGCAAGCCCUGGCCUCACCGCAGGGCCAGAGGACAGACAACUUAGUAAAUGUGGGGUGCCUACAUGUCCUCACCUGUGACAGCAGGACAAAGCGCUCGUGUCCUCUGGAUCUUGUGAGGGGAAAGGGAAAAGAGUUUGUCGAAAAGAGUUUUGUCAGGGGUCAGGGACGAAGUAAACACCCAGUAAAAGUCAGCUUGGGGGAUGAGGGCAGGAAAAGGGGAGGAGCGGACGCCCAUAGCACCUCAGGGACUGCCAGAGCUUCCCAACAGCGCCCGGCCCGCUGCAGCCCUGCUUGAAGGCCAUGCUCCGUCUGGGGGGUGUGGGAAUGUGGGAGGCCUUUUCUUUCAUCAAAGGAAAAAUUGUGCCCAAAUCCCUGGGUUUGACCCCAGCAAUGACUGAAGAAGAAAAAAAAAAGGAAAGAAAGACAAAUAUUAAAAAGAGAACUCUCAUUAGAAAUGUCACUUCACUCUUCCUGUACCCAUCUGCCCUGAACCACGGCUCAGGGAGCAGAACAGCCAGCCGGGCUCCUGGGUGCCCAGCCCAGUGGCCCUGGUUGGCCGGCACUCAGCCAGUCAGGCCAUUUGUCCCGCCCGGGAAAUGAGCAGGACCUCCUGAGGCUGUGUCACUCAGGCCACACAGUAUUUCUCCACACCAAGCCGCCCCCGGCUGGUGGACAGAACGCCAGUGAUUCGUGUGAUCACUCAGGCCCGGAACAGGAGAGCCUGGUAGGGCUGGGGACAGGGCUGGAGACAGGGACCAAAGAGAAGCCUGGGUUCCUGAAGAACAGGUCGGCCACGCCACACGGACACAGGUGCGCACUCUUCAGCCCCUGCUCCGGGAAAGUCGUGCCCGUGGUCUCCGGCCCAGGUCCUGUGCAGGGAGGUAAACAGGAAGCUUUCCCAUCCCCACCCGGCCCGCAGUGCCAGCAGGUGGAGACAGCCUGUGAGCCCAAGCUGUGCCACGGGGACAGCUUCGUGUGUCCAGGGCCCACAGGCCCUAGAAGGAAACGAGCCUGCCCAGGGGCAUAGAGGAGGACACCAGACCACGAGAGGCAGCCAUGUCAUCCUAGGGAGACGGAGCCUCCCCACAACCAAAGAAAUGAAGCGCUCUCCAAGCCCCGCUUUGUGGACAAGGAGACGGAAGAGCAGAGACUAGUAGAGCACCCCAAAUCGCUCAGCGGUCCUCCCCCAGGUGCGUCUGCUCCUGCAACGUAUCGGGAAGCUCCUGCAACAGAACCGAGGACAGCAGUCAGAGCCAGCUGCCCCCAAACGCGUGACAGCCAGCCUUGGCCACGUCGGCUGCCCCGUGGGUUUGCUGUGGCACAGCGAGUUUUGGUGGUGGCUCAUCCAGAUGACCCCACUCCUCCGCAGCGUCCUCGGCUCGAGGGGUCUGGGGGGCCCCUCCCGCACCCAUAAUGGCAGAGUCUGACAUC